rnacentral:tRNA from 1 species
UCCCUUUUGAGCAUGACGUUAUUCGUUCCUGUCGGGCGUCCUCACAAAUUACCUGCAUUCAGAGAUUCAUACCGGCACAGGUCGGUAUGCGAAGUCCCUUUUGGGGCCUUAGCUCAGCUGGGAGAGCACCUGCUUUGCAAGCAGGGGGUCGUCGGUUCGAUCCCGACAGGCUCCACCAUAUUGAGUGAAAAGACUUCGGGUCUGUAGCUCAGGUGGUUAGAGCGCACCCCUGAUAAGGGUGAGGUCGGUAGUUCGAGUCUACCCAGACCCACCACUCUGAAUGUAGUGCACACUUAAGAAUUUAUAUGGAUCAGCGUUGAGGCUGAGACAUGUUCUUUUAUAACUUGUGACGUAGCGAGCGUUUGAGAUAUCUAUCUAAACGUGUCGUUGAGGCUAAGGCGGGGACUUCGAGUCCCUAAAUAAUUGAGUCGUAUGUUCGCGUUGGUGGCUUUGUACCCCACACAACACGGCAUGUAGCUCCGAGGCAACUUGGGGUUAUAUGGUCAAGCGAAUAAGCGCACACGGGGA